GGCCUCACACGGGCAAAAAAAACCAAAACCCCGAAACGGUCAUCCCCUCCCCUCUCUCCGCUCUCCCGAUUCGAAUUCAAUGGCCAAAGGCGGCGGCGGCUCCGGCGUCUCGCCGGCGCCCCCUCGGGGUCAGGUCUACCUUCCUGAGUGGCGCCGCCUGUACGACCGCCUGCUGAAGAUGCUGCGCGAGGAGCACGCGCUGGCCGAGGAGCUCUCCAUCGAGCGCGCGCACCUCGCCGCCGAGCUCGAGUUCCAGCGCAUCGGCCGCCGCGAGCGCGAGGAGAUCUUCCAGGCCCGCAUCCAGCAGAUCUGGAGGGACGAGGAGCGCAGGAAGAGGGUCGAGAAGGCCGAGAGGGCGGUGCUCAUCGGGGGAAAGGAUCUGGAGAGUCGCUGCUACCAGAAGCUCGUAGAACUCGGAGACAGUGAUGCUGAGGAUUUCAGAAGUUUUAUUGCUACUUUGACGGCUGAAAAUUCUGAACUAAAGGCAAAACUUAAGGAGUUUGAAAGUCAGGCACAGCUUAAUGAAAACAGUGUGGAUCAUCAGCAAAGUGGAAAAGAUCUGAGGCUAGAGUUAAGGAAACUAAAGCAAGCUUACAAGAACCUGAGCUCAGAGAAGGAUAAGCAAAUUUCAGCAUUAAAUGCAGAAAAAGAUUUCGUGUGGAACCAGUUUAAGACCAUGGAGCAGGAUUACAUCGUGACCAUUAAGAGCAAGAACAUAGAGGCAAAGCAAGCUAUUGAAGCAGCACAAAAGCUUCAGAAGAAUGUUGAUGAACUGCAAGUGGCAGCCCAAAAGAAGAAUGAUGAAAUUGACAGACUGCAAGCAGAGGUGACUGCUGCCAAAGAGAAGAUGUUGCUUCUUGAGGAUGAGCUAAAACAAAUGCACUCCUUGGUCAAGGGUAAAGAUGUUGAAACCGGUAAAAAUAAAGAUCAUCAAUCUGGGACUAGUCGAAAGUCGAAGAAGGAUAUUAACAAGACAAACAGAAAAUCUAAGUCUGAAGGCCCUGUUUCAAAGGAAAAAUUAAGAACUUCCCAGGUCACGCCAGACAGGAUAGAAGUGAAGACUUCCAGAACUCGUGCUGCUGAGACUAGUCAAAAGCGCAAGCGUGGCUCUUCCUUAUCAUGUGGUUCCCGACGAUGCUCCACAAGGCCGCUGCAAGUUAAAGCUGCUGUGUCCCCCAUGCUCCUCCCGCCCAGUUUCACGGUUCCAAGACUGAAGACCCCAACCCCUCCCUAACUUGAUGGAACACUGGCCACCAUAAUCUGAUGUGCUGACAUUUGCAAUUGCUGAUACACACCCUGCUCUGACAGUAUUUAGGGUGCUGUGCUAAUGGAGGGUUUCCUUGUUGUUUAUGUAAGCGUAUCACUUGCUGUUCGCACGCCGGCUUUAACUCGAAGCCACAAUUAAUGGAUGAUCAGCGGUGUUUGUAUUGUAGUUCUAAUUCAUCUUAUGAUUGUGUUUGCAUUGAAUGGAUGAUCGAUUGUGUUAUUUGUGCCAAUGCAUGAUGAUAUUUGUUAUAGCAUAGCCCCUGCUGAUAGGACCUAAAAAUCAGAUUGGUCUUGGUUGGUUCCUGAGAGUUGGUCCAUGUUUGCACCACCGUUAGCCUUUUGUUCUACUGUACUCCGUCUGUGAAUGGACGCUGAACAGUGGCUCUGUGAGUUCAUAGUGGCAUGAGUAUAUCAUAAGUCUGUUAAAUUCA